rnacentral:rRNA from 1 species
UACGUAGGGGGCAAGCGUUGUCCGGAUUUAUUGGGCGUAAAGAGCGUGUAGGCGGCUAGGUAGGUCCAUUGUGAAAACUCGAGGCUCAACCUCGAGACGUCGGUGGAAACCAUCUAGCUAGAGUCCGGAAGAGGAGAGUGGAAUUCCCGGUGUAGCGGUGAAAUGUGUAGAGAUCGGGAGGAACACCGGUGGCGAAGGCGGCCUUCUGGACGGUGACUGACGCUGAGGCGCGAAAGCGUGGGGAGCAAACGGG